CAUCUUCUAGGGUUGUGGGAAGCCUCUAAAAAUAAUGUAUGAAAAGUUCACCAAAAACUAUAAAAUAUGUAGAAGUAUAACUUAUCUUUAUCAUUAAAAAAUGGAAUCAUGGAAUUUGGAUUUUGAGUGGAAUGGAGUAGAAGAAGGAGUGGGCUGAAAGCCAAAAGGACUGGUUCUUCUGGUGGUACCUCAACAGGGGAUCACUGCAUGGGUAGCCAGGGAGCGGAAAUGAAGAGAACCUGCCUGGGGACUUGAAAGUGAAAUUGAUUGCACACAUUUGAAUAGAUGGGCCUAAGAUUUUCCCCAACACUGAAACCCCUGUGUUCUGCACUGAG
rnacentral:lncRNA from 1 species